UACGUAGGGUGCGAGCGUUGUCCGGAAUUACUGGGCGUAAAGAGCUCGUAGGUGGUUUGUCGCGUUGUUCGUGAAAACUCACAGCUCAACUGUGGGCGUGCGGGCGAUACGGGCAGACUAGAGUACUGCAGGGGAGACUGGAAUUCCUGGUGUAGCGGUGGAAUGCGCAGAUAUCAGGAAGAACACCAAUGGCGAAAGCAGCUCUCUGGGACGGUACUGACGCUGAGACGCGAAAGCGUGGGGAGCGAACAGG
rnacentral:rRNA from 1 species